rnacentral:lncRNA from 1 species
CAAAUGAAUAUCCUAAUCCUGAAGAUGUAACGAGCAAUUUGGUAAAAUAAAUUUGUCGUAAUCUUUAACGGUUGCGAAGGAGUAGUGGCCACAAGAAAAACAGUGUUUGGGGAGAUAACUCUUACAACGUAAAGUAUUUUGUUACGCAGUUGUAAAUUUUUAAAGCGUAUAAACUAUACGAUAUCAUAUUCCAAAUAUCUAAGCGACAUCUUUUGAAACAACAAUACUACGCAAGAAAAAAAUUUAGGCGGAAGAAAAAAAAAAAAAAAUAAUUAAAAACCAAUUGUUCAGAG